rnacentral:lncRNA from 1 species
ACCCCUUCACUAAAGCUCUGGCAAUAAAGGAGUUCGACAACCACAAGUCAAAGAUGGGUAUUAGAUACUGUGCCAAGUGGCUUUACGACAAGUGGAAGUUGUUGAAAAAUAUGUCUCAAAAGUCAAUCGUCAACCUAUUGAUGGUUGAGUAACUUUGUAUUAUAAUUGAUUUAUUAAUAAAUAAAAUAUAUUUUUGGUAAUU